GACGAACGCUGGCGGCGUGCUUAACACAUGCAAGUCGAACGGAAAGGCCCUGCUUUUGUGGGGUGCUCGAGUGGCGAACGGGUGAGUAACACGUGAGUAACCUGCCCUUGACUUUGGGAUAACUUCAGGAAACUGGGGCUAAUACCGGAUAGGAGCUCCUGCUGCAUGGUGGGGGUUGGAAAGUUUCGGCGGUUGGGGAUGGACUCGCGGCUUAUCAGCUUGUUGGUGGGGUAGUGGCUUACCAAGGCUUUGACGGGUAGCCGGCCUGGGAGGGUGACCGGGCACAUUGGGACUGCGAUAGGGACCAGACUCCUACGGGAGGCAGAAGUGGGGAAUAUUGCACAAUGGGGGGAAGCCUGAUGCAGCAACGCCGCGUGCGUGAUGACGUGCUUCGGGUUGUAAACCGAUUUCGACUGUGAUGAAGCGUGAGUGACGGUAAUGGGUAAAGAAGCACCGGCUAACUACGUG
rnacentral:rRNA from 1 species